rnacentral:tRNA from 1 species
AGGGUCGUCGUUCAACGGUAGGACAGUGGUCUCCAAAACCACCAAUGAAAGUUCGAUUCUUUCCGACCCUG